CUGUGGGUGGCUCUCUACAUCCCCCAUGGAUCCCCACAGGCUGCAGGGGUGCAGCUGCUUCACUGUGGACUCACCAGGGCCUGCAGAGGAAUCUGAGUUCUGGCACCUGGAGCACCUCCUGUCCCUCCUUCUCCACUGACCUUGGUGUCUCCAUGUUCUUUCCCUCACAUUUUCUCACGUCUUCCUCUUCUCUGACUAACAAAAAAAAAAAAACCUGUGUGUCUUUGUUUUGAUUUCUUUCUUAAAUACGCUAUCAAGAAGCAUUUCCACAAUCUCUAAUUGGUCCAGUCUCGGUCAGAAGCAUGUCCAUCUUCAGAGCCAUCAGGGAUUGACUCUACUGGACAUGGUGGAAGAUUCCAGCAGCUUCUCAGGGAAGCCCCCUCUGUGGCCCCCCUGCUAGCACAAACCAGGCCAUGUAAAACCAACACACGCUCAUAUAUGAGAUAGAGAGGGAGAAAAUACCCUCUUAACAGCACCCUGGCCAGGAUUUUUUGUCCAGAAUAAGGUGAUCCUGAAACGCCAGCACACACCCAAGACUGCAGAAAAGUAAAAUGUGACCUGAUGCAGUACACAAAGAAGGAAGCAGCUGGUCUCACAAUGAACUAAGAAUAACAUAAAAAUACAAACAAGAGCUCAAAACAAAGACAUAAAAAUGGCUCAAGCAGGAAACCAACCUUUUAAAUGUGAGGAUUAAAGACUUCAAUGGGUCUAACAUGAGACUAUCAAUGUACUUGUAUACUGAAAGCCUUACAGGUGCAAGCAUGAAAACUCUAUAAGCAGUGAAGUGUCAACUUGGCAACUCCAGAGUAUAUCAGAAAG